UCCUGUGCUUGUGGCUUCUUUGUUAGUUCCAUCAUCCCCUAGGGGUAAAACCACUUAAUGUGACUCAACAGAAAAUGCCCAGGCCUGGCUGGGCGUGGUGG